AAACAAGCAGAGGGGGCUUAGUGGUGGGGUGACUGCGUACCUUUUGUAUAAUGGGUCAGCGACUUAUAUUCUGUAGCAAGGUUAACCGUAUAGGGGAGCCGGAGGGAAACCGAGUCUUAAUUGGGCGUUAAGUUGCAGGGUAUAGACCCGAAACCCGGUGAUCUAGCCAUGGGCAGGUUGAAGGUUGGGUAACACUAACUGGAGGACCGAACCGACUAAUGUUGAAAAAUUAGCGGAUGACCUGUGGCUGGGGGUGAAAGGCCAAUCAAACCGGGAGAUAGCUGGUUCUCCCCGAAAGCUAUUUAGGUAGCGCCUCGUGAAUUCAUCUCCGGGGGUAGAGCACUGUUUCGGCUAGGGGGCCAUCCCGGCUUACCAACCCGAUGCAAACUGCGAAUACCGGAGAAUGUUAUCACGGGAGACACACGGCGGGUGCUAACGUCCGUCGUGAAGAGGGAAACAACCCAGACCGCCAGCUAAGGUCCCAAAGUCAUGGUUAAGUGGGAAACGAUGUGGGAAGGCCCAGACAGCCAGGAUGUUGGCUUAGAAGCAGCCAUCAUUUAAAGAAAGCGUAAUAGCUCACUGGUCGAGUCGGCCUGCGCGGAAGAUGUAACGGGGCUAAACCAUGCACCGAAGCUGCGGCAGCGAACGUAUCACUUAAAGCGAUUCAGCGGGUUACGAUUGACGGAGCGAAGCGACGUCAAAGCGUAUACAAAGUCGAGUCGGUUUAAGGAUACGUUCGUUGGGUAGGGGAGCGUUCUGUAAGCCUGUGAAGGUGGCCUGUGAGGGUUGCUGGAGGUAUCAGAAGUGCGAAUGCUGACAUAAGUAACGAUAAAGCGGGUGAAAAGCCCGCUCGCCGGAAGACCAAGGGUUCCUGUCCAACGUUAAUCGGGGCAGGGUGAGUCGACCCCUAAGGCGAGGCCGAAAGGCGUAGUCGAUGGGAAACGGGUUAAUAUUCCCGUACUUGGUGUUACUGCGAAGGGGGGACGGAGAAGGCUAUGUUGGCCGGGCGACGGUUGUCCCGGUUUAAGCGUGUAGGUGUGUGUUCCAGGUAAAUCCGGUUCACUUUAACACUGAGGCGUGAUGACGAGGCACUACGGUGCUGAAGCAACAAAUGCCCUGCUUCCAGGAAAAGCCUCUAAGCAUCAGGUAACAUCAAAUCGUACCCCAAACCGACACAGGUGGUCAGGUAGAGAAUACCAAGGCGCUUGAGAGAACUCGGGUGAAGGAACUAGGCAAAAUGGUGCCGUAACUUCGGGAGAAGGCACGCUGACACGUAGGUGAAGUGAUUUACUCAUGGAGCUGAAGUCAGUCGAAGAUACCAGCUGGCUGCAACUGUUUAUUAAAAACACAGCACUGUGCAAACACGAAAGUGGACGUAUACGGUGUGACGCCUGCCCGGUGCCGGAAGGUUAAUUGAUGGGGUCAGCGCAAGCGAAGCUCCUGAUCGAAGCCCCGGUAAACGGCGGCCGUAACUAUAACGGUCCUAAGGUAGCGAAAUUCCUUGUCGGGUAAGUUCCGACCUGCACGAAUGGCGUAAUGAUGGCCAGGCUGUCUCCACCCGAGACUCAGUGAAAUUGAACUCGCUGUGAAGAUGCAGUGUACCCGCGGCAAGACGGAAAGACCCCGUGAACCUUUACUAUAGCUUGACACUGAACAUUGAGCCUUGAUGUGUAGGAUAGGUGGGAGGCUUUGAAGUGUGGACGCCAGUCUGCAUGGAGCCGACCUUGAAAUACCACCCUUUAAUGUUUGAUGUUCUAACGUGGACCCGUAAUCCGGGUUGCGGACAGUGUCUGGUGGGUAGUUUGACUGGGGCGGUCUCCUCCUAAAGAGUAACGGAGGAGCACGAAGGUUGGCUAAUCCUGGUCGGACAUCAGGAGGUUAGUGCAAUGGCAUAAGCCAGCUUGACUGCGAGCGUGACGGCGCGAGCAGGUGCGAAAGCAGGUCAUAGUGAUCCGGUGGUUCUGAAUGGAAGGGCCAUCGCUCAACGGAUAAAAGGUACUCCGGGGAUAACAGGCUGAUACCGCCCAAGAGUUCAUAUCGACGGCGGUGUUUGGCACCUCGAUGUCGGCUCAUCACAUCCUGGGGCUGAAGUAGGUCCCAAGGGUAUGGCUGUUCGCCAUUUAAAGUGGUACGCGAGCUGGGUUUAGAACGUCGUGAGACAGUUCGGUCCCUAUCUGCCGUGGGCGCUGGAGAACUGAGGGGGGCUGCUCCUAGUACGAGAGGACCGGAGUGGACGCAUCACUGGUGUUCGGGUUGUCAUGCCAAUGGCACUGCCCGGUAGCUAAAUGCGGAAGAGAUAAGUGCUGAAAGCAUCUAAGCACGAAACUUGCCCCGAGAUGAGUUCUCCCUGAGACUUAGAGUCUCCUGAAGGAACGUUGAAGACGACGACGUUGAUAGGCCGGGUGUGUAAGCGCAGCGAUGCGUUGAGCUAACCGGUACUAAUGAACCGUGAGGCUUAACCUUAC
rnacentral:rRNA from 1 species